UAACAUGUCACCUUUGUUAUUUACCUAUGUUAGCCUAUCAAGCAUCACAAAGGAAUAUUUUUUAUUCCUUUUCCUUUCCCAACCUCUCAUUUAAAAUAUCUAUUUUUCCUCUCAUCCUCACCACACAUUCAAAUUGCCAUCACUCUUUCUCUCUCCGCGUGGGCCCCACUCCCACCAAUCAGAUUUAAUUAUUUUCCUCAUUCUCCUCACUCUCUCACCAUUCACGCUCUCUCUCUUCUCACUCACUCGACAUCUCUCUUUCUCCUUUUCUCUCCACUCAUUUCUUCUCCUAUCUUCUGGUGCAGCAACAAAAAUACCACCACCAUCAUUAUACUUCUUCUUCCUCCUCCACACAAGAGCCACCACCACGAGCCUUCUCCCCUUCAUGCAACAACCGCCACCGUUCAUGUCCUGGUCCCUAUAUGAAGAACGCGCGGUCACCACCAUCACCGCGUGCCAAUCGCCACCACCGUGGCCCUCUGUACCGUCGACCAGAACCGCGAACACCACCGCGUCUUCAUCACCAUCAAACGGCCAUGAACGCGCCGCCAAAGCCACCACCAUGAAACCCUAAAAACCGCCACCUUCAAGCUUCGAUCUCCGGCGAACCCCCUUAGCUUUUGGAGAAACGAAUACUACCACUGAACUCCCCUCAUCAUCAGCUUCAAAACCCCCAAAGAAAUUUCCGAUUCCAACAACCUUCGCAGGAAACCGCCGCCUCCGGCGUCUUCUCCGACGAGCUUUGUUCUAAGAAAGGAUGUCAAUUUCUCGAAGCUCUUGAUCUCCUCUUCCUGAAUCCAAGGCUCAAUCAUCAUUAAGAGAGCUCGCUGGUCAUCAGAGGAAGAAUUGAAGUUCAGCCCCACAGCUUGACACUUGAGGUAGUGGGAGAAAGACUGGAACACUUUAUGCUCCUCUAAAUAAUAUAUCUCUUGUCUUUUGCUGUUCAUGUACCUUGUAAAAAUUAAUGAAGGAAUGUAGAAUAGUGUAUGUGUGUGAUGUGAGUGAUAGUGUUUGAUUGUUGAUUUUAGAGGGCAUUAGGGUUCAGCCCUUACUGUGCUUGAAAAGCUUUUGCGAAAACUCACAUAAAACUGUUGUUGUUUUCGAAAGUAGUAGCUGCUGUUCUGUUAAAAUCGUAUGUUUCGGUCAAGAUUUUCAAA